GACGAACGCUGGCGGCGUGCUUAACACAUGCAAGUCGAACGGAAAGGCCCUGCUUUUGUGGGGUGCUCGAGUGGCGAACGGGUGAGUAACACGUGAGUAACCUGCCCUUUACUUUGGGAUAACUUCAGGAAACUGGGGCUAAUACCGGAUAUGAGCUCCUGCUGCAUGGUGGGGGUUGGAAAGUUUCGGCGGUUGGGGAUGGUCUCGCGGCUUAUCCGCUUGUUGGUGGGGUAGUGGCUUACCAAGGCUUGGACGGGUAGCCGGCCUGAGAGGGUGACCGGCCACAUUGGGACUGAGAUACGGCCCAGACGCCUACGGGAGGCAGCAGUGGGGAAUAGUGCGCAAUGGGCGGAAGCCUGAUGCAGCAACGCCGCGUGCGAGAUGACGGCCUUCGGGUUGUAAACCGCUUUCGCCUGUGACGAAGCGUGAGUGACGGUAAUGGGUAAAGAAGCACCGGCUAACUACGUG
rnacentral:rRNA from 1 species